CCUAGAGUUGUAGGCUUGCUGCUAUCUCUUACCCAUGUCUUUUGAGUACCUUACGUUUCCUCGGUGGGUUCGCCCACCGAUUGGACAAACUUAAACCCUUUGCAGUUGAAAUCAGCGUCUGAAAAACUUAAUAGUUA
rnacentral:misc_RNA from 1 species